AUGCACGCUGGCGGCGUGCCUAAUACAUGCAGGUCGAGCGAACGGACGAGAAGCUUGCUUCUCUGAUGUUAGCGGCGGACGGGUGAGUAACACGUGGAUAACCUACCUAUAAGACUGGGAUAACUUCGGGAAACCGUAGCUAAUACCGGAUAAUAUUUUGAACCGCAUGGUUCAAAAGUGAAAGACGGUCUUGCUGUCACUUAUAGAUGGAUCCGCGCUGCAUUAGCUAGUUGGUAAGGUAACGGCUUACCAAGGCAACGAUGCAUAGCCGACCUGAGAGGGUGAUCGGCCACACUGGAACUGAGACACGGUCCAGACUCCUACGGGAGGCAGCAGUAGGGAAUCUUCCGCAAUGGGCGAAAGCCUGACGGAGCAACGCCGCGUGAGUGAUGAAGGUCUUCGGAUCGUAAAACUCUGUUAUUAGGGAAGAACAUAUGUGUAAGUAACUGUGCACAUCUUGACGGUACCUAAUCAGAAAGCCACGGCUAACUACGUG
rnacentral:rRNA from 1 species